ensembl:snRNA Gm25637 U6 spliceosomal RNA
GUGCUCGCCCCCUUGGUAGCACAUAUCCUGAAAUUGGAACAAACACAGAGAAGAUUAGUGUGGUUCCUGCACAAGGAUGAUAUAUGUCAAAGGAUGGCAUAUUUUG